AUUAGAUUAGCUGUCCUUACAUCAUAUGUAGGCGGGGGGAAACUUACAAAAAGUAGCGGAACAAAGACUCACCAUGCCAGUUGCUAGUUAUAUCUGUUACUCCACUUUAGUCAACUAGACACUUCCCCUUAAAAAGCAUUAGACACACAAUAGGGUGUAGCAGAAGACAUUGCUAUACUUGAGCUAUUCCAUCCUUAGAAUUACAUAAAUGAAAGUAAAUACAAAAUAUCCCUAAAAGUAUAUACAACAAUUUCAGGCUUUGCUUUAACCAAAAAUCAACAUUCUUCUGUGCAGUUCCACUUGUUUGAAAUACAAGAUGCAGUAUUUAAUACCUCCAGCAUUAAAAACUUGCAUAUUAUUCUUUACCAGUACGAUGAAUGUAAAUUUCAGUGCCAUACCAACUCCAUUUUAAUCUUUAAGAGCGCAAAAGAUCAUAAUAUAUAUGGUUGGGACACCAAGCGAAUAGCAGAUGCAGCAGGUGCUGCACAUGCUGCCUCCCUGUCUCUGAAAGCAAAGUUCUGCUAGAGGAGAGAAAUUCGCUGGGUCAUGGAACAUUCCAGUUAUAUAAAUCAUUCAAGACUCAUCUGUACCAGAGAACACAGGAAUGCAAACAAAUCAGGCCAGCUGAAAUCUUAUUUCAUGUUCACUGACUCAGAUUAGCUUAAUAUAAAUAACUCCAGAUCAAAUGAUUAAAUAGCAUAAAUUACAUCCUGACCAUUUUUAUAUAAAGUUAUCAGGGCCAUCUCUUCUAUAUAUAUAUCAAUGAUAGUUGAUACCAUACGAGCAAUAAUCACUAAUAGGUAUAAGGUCACCACCUUCAUGAACUCUUUCUUCACCCAUACGUAGACCACAUGGAAACCUCAUAUUUGAAAUGCUAUAUCAAUUUAUAAAGAGAAUACUCAUAAUAUGAUUGUACUCUCAAGCUGACGCAUCUUGCCAUUCAGAAUUUGCCUGGCCUGAUUAGAACUAAUGGCAUAUCAUCAGUAAAUAAUAAAUAAUGUAACUUAAAAUUGUGCACACGCAAUGAAAAAACAAAAAUAGACAUGUGUCCUACAGCUCUAACAUCACAUAUUAUGAUUCUUUUAUCAUUUUCAUAUCAUGUAUAGCAUAUGGAAUCUAAAACCUUAGAUUAAAACUCAUGGGAAGUCUUUUCACGUCUUUCACAAGUAUUUGGUAUUUAGCUUCAUCAGUCCAACCAGUACUUGAAGAAUUCAAGUACUGCAACAAAUGUUCACAAGUUACCAGCAAUUAAAAUUAUGAUAGUGGCAUAGUACACAACUUAAACUACAUAAUAUCAUUUCUGAAAUCCGGCAAAGUGAUAUUCCAAUUAAAAACUUAGGACGUGCUAGCCACAAAGUAAUCCAGGCACAAACACCAGUAAGAAGGGUUCCAAACACAGCUUCAAUAAAUUUCCACUUCACAUUCUUCACAGAAUUUAAAAAAAGAAAAAAAAAAGUGCAAAUGACAAGCAUUAUACAAUAAAAACAUGAAGAUUUUUUUUUCCUUUUUUCAUGAAAAUGGAGGAUUCCAUCUGAUAGCUUUGCAACUGACAAGAGAUAUCAAUAAGCAAGAGGUGCUAUAUAUGGAUGAAGCAAGGAAAGGUCCAAACUAAAACCUUCCAAGAAUCCAAAUGAAGGUCAUCCCAUGGCAAUAACUACUAUCAAGUCUCACAUUCUUCAGCAAAACAAGAUAUGUGAGGCUCACUGGUGGCCUGAAAUGGAAGUAUGGCAAUCAUAUAAUUACCAAAAAUCAGUGGCUGAACAACUGGCUGUAUGAAUUACCCAACUGUUUAGACCAAGACAACGUAGCAAACACCAACAUCAUCUUUCAACAUUGGGAAGAGAGGUGUACAAGCCUCCUACUUUUGCCCUGGAAAAUGCAGCAGAAAGUAUCAAUAAUGUCCUUAAAGGAAACUGCUGCAAUGCCAAUUGGUAAGGAGAAUAUCAAGAUGAUGAAAAUAGGCAGCCCAAAGUAUAUCCAUAUAAAACAGGAAGCAGGAAACUGCUUUCUUAUUGCUUCAGUUUGAACAAACCGAAUUCUUCCACAUUUUCUGCAUGCUUUUUUGGUAAAAAUGGCAUCUUAAUAUUACAAGUGUCGAAACUUAAACAGCAUGUUCCAAUGACAAAGUAGGCAGAUUACGCACAUCUCUUUUGAUGUAAGAAAUCUUUAAAAUAUAACAGGACAGCACAAUCCGUUGUACCCAAUUUUUUGCAAAUGUUAAAACAUUCAUCUAAGUUCACAAAGGACCUGAAAAUAGAAAUACAAGAAAAUAGAAUUGCGACACAAGGACAAGUUUAGAAAUAUUCAUUACUUUGCAACUUUUCUAGUACAUUCAUUUAAUCUAGGACACUUUAUGUUAUAAAACAAAAAUGAAAGAAAUGGAAAACAACAGUUCAUCAUGCUUCUUACAAGGAGACAUGCCAUUUAUACCAACUAUUUAUCAGAUUCUAGUUCUACAAAACAAAAUGAAUGACCAACAAAAGAUUUCCAAAAUGCUUGUCAUCUAGAAGGGAUGCUAUUAUCAGCAGAAACUAAAUUUCUGACCUCCAUCAAAUGUUCAUCAUUUGAUAUAUGGAGGGAAAGACGGAGAUUUGUCACCAAUGCUUCUUGCUCCCAACUUAGAGGUCCUGAUGCAUACAAUGCCUCCAUAGUGCAUCGGUACGCAUACAACUCUAACCUAUGAAUUUCAGCAGCCAAUUCAUCCUUUGUGGGAAAGGGAAUAUUUUCUUCCUCGUAUCUCCACUGGCAGAAAGAUUCUGCAUCACUACUAUAACCGUCUACAGCUUCAAUGAAACCUGCAUAAUGAUGCAAAUUACAGAAAUUGUUGCUAGUAAUGCUACAACUACCAACUGAGCUAGUAACACUAUCUUCAUCAGUGGAUUCUAAUCCUAUUGCAGAUGAACAUCCAAUGGCACCAGCUUGUUUUCUACUUUGCAUAUCCAUCUCCAAAAAGCCAGUUUGGUAGUUAAAAGAAGAAUGUAUGAAUUUUUCACCCACCAUUUCUUUUGGGAAAGCAACAUCAUCUACCUGUUUAGGAAAUGAAGAUUGAUUGGUGGCAAACACUCGAUGCAGCCUGCCCUCUUUCUCAGCUGCUCUAAAUUUUUGGGCAUUACCAUCACACGCUUCUUGUUUAUAAGCAAGAUGACCUCUCUUCAAAGUUCUACAAGAGACCAUAUUAGACUCUUGGUUUUUCUUCUUGUUCACAACAGGAAAGCAAGCAUCCUUCACUUGUCCAUGUAACCUUGUUUUUGUCAUUUGAACAUUGUUCAGAGAGUUUCUCUUGCACUUUAGAAUUGAACUUUCAUCAUGUUUUAUAUCUUCACAGGUGCCAGAACCCUUUCCAAUCACAAUCCAUUUAUCAGCUUGCCAAGACUGUCGUAUACGGAUGUCAAAUUUGCUCACUUUGAAUUCAAGAUAUGAUCCUAGUAUCCUGACCAGAAAGUAUUCUUUGCCUAACACCUUAGAAAUUGUUGCCAUUUUCCAAGAAAAAUCAUGAAACACCUCUACUACAUCACCAGGAACCCAAUUUUCAGCAAUUUCAGGUAGCGGAGGGCAAGGCCUAAUUGCCUUCCUAGAUAUCCUCUCCACUAUUGUAUCAUCAAUGGUGCCUGUGUGCCCCUUAUAUCUAAUUGUGUAAGUGUGGCCAUUACCACUGAUAAUCUCAGCACAGCGCCAAAAGCCUGAUGGCACACCUUUUUUGCACGAGACUUCCACUCUACUCCCUUUCUUAAAUCUCAUGAUUGCUACAAUAUCACAAGUUCACAAGACUUGACUGGAUUCUCUGAAAGAUUGUGGUUGAGGUUGUGGAUUUUGUUAAUGUAAAUUUAAUUGUGGAUUUGAUUAUGGAUUGGUAUUGCUAUCAGUUAUGGAAAGGGAACAUCAAAUAAAAAUUUAAAAAUAAAAAUAAAAAAUAAAGAAAGGAAGACAUGAGGAUGAGUGAAAUGUGCCUGAAGCACGCCUGGUGCAAGGCGCAUGCCUCACUAACAUCACCCGCCUUUUGCUUCUUGAGGCUCCAAGGCAUAAGGCUGAAGCACACCACUGAAAUUAACCAAUCAUUUUAUCUGUUUAUCAAAUUUAUAUUAAAUACAUUCUUUUUCACUUUUCUUGCAAGAAAAAAUUAAAAAUACAUCACACUAGCUUCAUGAAUCUGUGUACUCCACACCUAAGUGCAUGACCACUUGUUCAAAACUACAGAAUAUAAAAUAGCAAAACCACAUACAAUUUUGUGAUGAGUAAAGACAAAGACCAACCAGAAAAGCAGCUUUGCUAGGU
rnacentral:misc_RNA from 1 species